AAAUCUUUUGCUCGGCAGCAGUUCGGCUACCCGACGAAAUAUGUAAACGCCGAAAAGGUGACAGACAAAACACAAACCAUCUGUAAGCAUUGUAGGAAGAUAAUGCUGUACACAGCGGCUAACGCUACUACUGUGCAAACCCAUUUGCAGCACCAUCAUAGCUCAUUACUUAAAUCCACUGCACCUGAGGGGGGGCUAGGCUUUGUGCUAAACUUUGUCACACUGAGAAAUGGGAACAAACUGGAACACAGGCAGGAAGUGAAGGGGGGCUCCGGCCCUCCUCCUAGUGUAAGUAAAAUUAGAAAAGCAGAAGGUACAUUGGCAGGGUCAUGGUGACAUUAAGCUUACGCUUGACUUGCGGGGCCUAACAAGAGAGGGGGUCGCUGACGCUGCUAAAUUGCAACAUAACAAGAGAGAUAUUGGAAUACGAGACGAAGAAGGAGUACACAGCUGCUGUGUCAAAGGCACAAAAAAAUGAACUUCGUCGCAAAGCCUCCAAAUAUGUGGUAGAAGGGGGAGUGCUUUAUUAUACAAAAGGGCAGGAGAAGUCAUUCAAAACGAAGGUGGUUGUUGGUGCUGAAGAAGCCAACGCCAUCUUCAUUGAGUUUCAUGACAGUCCAACAGGGGCCCACACUGGGCAAAAACGGACAAGGGAUGCUAUUAGCAGACGAUUUUACUGGCCUGGUAUGUCUGCAGACAUUGAUAAAUGGGUGGCAGAAUGCGCGGUGUGCCAGGCCAGCCAACGAUUAAUUAAAGAAGAAGUGCAAUACACUCCUAUUAAUGUUAACAAGAGGGUUUGUGAAAAACUCCAGAUAAAGAGAAGCCUGUGUGCCCCAUACCACCCCAAACAAAUGGCUUGGUGGAGAGACUGAAUUCCACUAUACAAAGGUUUUUUAUUCAUAAAAAUGAGCUCUCACAUGAUGUUUUCACUUGAAUACAGGUUUAAAUUUGCACUUUUUUUUAACCAUUAAAUAUUUAUGGGUAGGGGCGGCAUGGUGGUGCAGUGGUUAGCACUGUCGCCUCACACCUCUGGGACCCGGGUUUGAGUCUCCACCUGGGUGACAAGUGAGUGGAUUAUGCAUGUUCUCCCCAUGUCGUCGUGGGGUUUCCUCUGGGUACUCCGGUUUCCCCCCACAGUCCAAAAACAUGCUGAGGCUAAGUGGAGUUGCUAAAUUGCCCGUAGGUGUAUAUGCGUGAGUGAAUGGUGUGUGAGUGUGCCCUGCGAUGGGCUGGCCCCCCAUCCUGGGUUGUUCCCUGCCUCGUGCCCAUUGCUUCCGAGAGGCUCCGGACCCCCCGCGACCCAGUAGGAUAAGCGGUUUUGGAAAAUGGAUGGAUGGAUGGAUAAUAAACAAAAUAAAUUACAGAAUCUGUUAAUGAUCAAUUCUUUAUGCAUUCAUAAUAAUAUUCUAUGUUAUUUUAGGUAAUGAAUGCCUUCGUAAGGUUGCUGGUCAUUGAGAACAACAAGGUCAACAUGAGUAAGGCAGCAAUCUGGAUGGGGAGGACAUCCAAAGGUAAAAUGAAUCCAAUGGAUUUCCAAAAAGUUUUGGGCAUUGUUAAUGUGCAUCACCACUGGAUGCUGAUGGUGAUCUCUCUGCAUGAGAAAAAGUGUGUUUUCCUGGACCCAAUGGGAGAGACUUCAGGAAAUAUAAAGAGAUGCUCAGAAGCAACAAGGGCAUUCAUGCAGAAAAAGGGUUGCAAUGUGUCCAGAUGGCCCUGCAGUGCUCUGCCACAUGAACGUCAGCAUGACGGUUCAUCAUGUGGCAUUCUUACUUUAAAAUUUGCUGAGUGCAUCUUGAAGGGAGUGAAAUCAACAUCUUGCCCACAGAGGAGGCUGUGAACCAGAUGAGGUGGGAUGUUGCAAUGAAACUUCUUGAAGAAUCAGACAAUCUCAGCAACUUGUGUCAUUAUUGUGGGUUGGAUGAAAAUGAAGACCCAAAUUGGAUCUGCUGUGAUAAUUGUGGGAGGUGGUACCACCAUGAGUGCGUACAGAGGCCGCCACUGCACAAGAACUACCUGUGCCCUGCAUGUAAAUAAAUGUUCAGUUCUUGCUUUUUUUUUGUUAAUUGUUGUUUGCAUUAAUUUUUUUAUGUUCUUAUUCAUUUAAUUUGGAAAAAUUCGUUAUUUAUUGAUUAAUUAUUCAUUCUUGUUCUUUUAAUUUGGAGCAAUUUGUUAUUUAUUCGUUUAUUUGUUCAUGUUCUUGUAAUUUUGUUUUGUACAAAUAAUAAUUAUUUAUUAUUAUUGUUAUUCAAAUUAUUGUAUUAUUAUUUUGUUUGGAACUAUUUAUCAAUGUUAUUUAUUUAAUUUUUUUAUUGUUUGAGAAAUUUGAAUAAUUUGAGUAUUGUUUUUGUCUUGUAAUUUUAAAACAAAACUAAACUUUUCUACUUCUUCACCAUAUACUGCCCUCAAAACCACAUAACUUCUUUUAAACAUAAAAUACGAUGUUAUUAGCAUGAUUACUAAGCCAACAAUGUUAUGGCAAACUGUAAUACAGAGAAAGGUGUCCUAUCAUCAUUUUAAUACUACUGUAAAAUUACUCCAUUUAGAUUUCAUUGUGAUUGUGAAAAAAAUGUAAUACAAUGUAAGACUAAAUGGACUGUAGUUACAAGUACAUAUACAAUUACAGUAUGCUUUAUUUUGAUCAGUUUAUUUUACCUGUGCAUGUAUCACAUGUGUAGUUACAGUACAGCCAGAUUAACCAGAAGAUGCCUUUUCUGGAAGCCAGGGUCCAAAAAAGUUUUACAUUUCUGUUACUCCCAUUAUCAAGUGCUUUGUAUAAGAUGUAGUUACAGCAUGGCAUGAUAUAGGGCAGUGCACAGCACACCUUAGAAACAACAAGGGGACUUAAUUAUAAUAGAAACUCAAAAGGAAAAAGUAACAAGGACAAUGAUGGGUCAAAACAAAGGCAGGCAGGUGAAACAAGAGCUAACAAGAGCCAAACUAAACGCAAAGAAAGACUAUGGAAACAAAGCCAAGAAAUGCAAGUCGAAAAAGGCAUCCCCUUGGAUUUUGCAUUUCUGCAGCUCCCAUCACCAAGUGCCUUUGGGACUUUGUAUUUGAGAGAGUUUUAAGUUACCUGUGCAAGUUUCAGCUGCAUAGCUGCAGUACAGCCAGUUUUAACAGGGGGGUGCCUUUUUCGGCAGGUGCUUGCCGAAAAAGGCAUCCCCUUGGAUUUUGGAUUUCUGCAGCUCCCAAUAUCAAGUGCCUUUAGGGCUUUGUAUUUGAGAGAGUUUUAAGUCACCUGUGCAAGUUUCAGCAGUGUAGGUGCAGUAGAUCCAUUUUUAACAGGGGGGAUGCCUUUUCCGGCAGGUGCUUGCCGAAAAAGGCAUCCCCUUGGAUUUUGGAUUUCUGCAGCUCCCAAUAUCAAGUGUCUUUAGGGCUUUGUAUUUGAGAGAGUUUUAAGUCACCUGUGCAAGUUUCAGCAGUGUAGGUGCAGU